rnacentral:rRNA from 1 species
GGCGAACGCUGGCGGCGUGCUUAACACAUGCAAGUCGAACGGAAAGGCCCUGCUUGCAGGGUCCUCGAGUGGCGAACGGGUGAGUAACACGUGGGUGAUCUGCCCUGCACUUCGGGAUAAGCCUGGGAAACUGGGUCUAAUACCGGAUAGGAGCCAUUUUUAGCGUGAUGGUUGGAAAGUUUUUUCGGUGUAGGAUGAGCUCGGGGCCUAUUAGCUUGUUGGUGGGGUAAUGGCCUACCAAGGCGGCGACGGGUAGCCGGCCUGAGAGGGUGGACGGCCACAUUGGGCCUGAGAGACGGCCCAGAGUCCGACGGGAGGCAGAAGGGGGGAAAAUUGCACCAUGGGAGAAAGCCUGAUGCAGGGAGGCCGCGGGGUGGAUGACGGCCUUCGUGUUGUAAGCUCCUUUCGCUAGGGACGAAGCGUUUUGUGACGGUACCUAGAUAAGAAGCACCGGCUAACUACGUG